rnacentral:tRNA from 1 species
UAGAAUGUAGCAUAAUUUAAUGUACUUCACUUACACUGAAGUGAUGCUUUGACAUACAAGCCGUUCUAA